UACGUAGGGUGCGAGCGUUAAUCGGAAUUACUGGGCGUAAAGUGUGCGCAGGCGGCCGCGCAAGUCGAGUGUGAAAGCCCCGAGCUUAACUUGGGAAUUGCGCUCGAAACUACGUGGCUGGAGUGUGGCAGAGGAAGGUGGAAUUCCAGGUGUAGCGGUGAAAUGCGUAGAGAUCUGGAGGAACACCGAUGGCGAAGGCAGCCUUCUGGGCCAACACUGGCGCUCAUGCACGAAAGCGUGGGGAGCAAACAGG
rnacentral:rRNA from 1 species